GCAGACUCCUGCCUUCAGCAGAGGAUGAGGAAGAUGAGAGAGGAGCAGCUGGAGACCUGGAGAUCUGAUCUUCACAAACUCCAACCAUGGACUGCUCCUGGAGGUUUUCCACACCACAGAAGGAUCUGCACCAAGGAACCAAACUGUUUCACUUAGUGAUGGUGAGCCAGUUCCUGAAUCAGUCCUGUGGUACGACCCACCAGUCAGGUUUCUAACGUCUCUAUGAGCGUCACCAACACAAGCCUCGACACACGCUCCACAAAAAUCCUCCUGUAUGACCCGGCACACGCUCCGAAGCCUCGACACAGAAGAACACAUCACUACUUAAAGGUCACCUCGCAGCCACUACUCACCUGUUGGAUCUUAAUUCUCCCGGGCCAUGAACCAUCAC